GGAUCCAGACUUUGAUCCUGGCUCAGGAUGAACGCUAGCGGCAGGCUUAACACAUGCAAGUCGAGGGGCAGCGCGGGGCAGCAAUGUUCUGGCGGCGACCGGCGGAAGGGUGCGUAACGCGUGAGCGACAUGCCCGUUGCCCGGGGACAACCGGUGGAAACGCCGACUAAUCCCCGAUGGGACGGAGGCCCUCAUGGGUCUCCGUUGAAAGUUACGGCGGCGACGGAUUGGCUCGCGUCCGAUUAGCUUGUUGGCGGGGUAACGGCCCACCAAGGCUACGAUCGGUAGGGGUUCUGAGAGGAAGGUCCCCCACAAUGGAACUGAGACACGGUCCAUACUCCUACGGGAGGCAGCAGUGAGGAAUAUUGGUCAAUGGGCGGAAGCCUGAACCAGCCAUGCCGCGUGCGGGAAGGAGGCCCUAUGGGCUGUGAACCGCUUUUGCCUGGGGGCAAUAAGGGCGUCGUGCACGUCCGAUGAGAGUACCAGGCGAAUAAGCAUCGGCUAACUCCGUGCCAGCAGCCGCGGUAAUACGGGGGAUGCGAGCGUUAUCCGGAUUCAUUGGGUUUAAAGGGUGCGUAGGCUGUGCGUCAAGUCAGGGGUGAAAUUCCGGGGCUCAACUCCGGGGCUGCCCUUGAUACUGUCGCGCUGGAGUGCGGAUGCCGCCGGAGGAAUGAGUGGUGUAGCGGUGAAAUGCUUAGAUAUCACUCAGAACACCGAUUGCGAAGGCAUCUGGCGAAUCCGUAACUGACGCUGAGGCACGAAAGCGUGGGGAUAGAACAGGAUUAGAUACCCUGGUAUUCCACGCCGUAAACGAUGAUGGCUAACCGCCGGCGACACACUGUCGGUGGCCAAGCGAAAGCGAUAAGCCAUCCACCUGGGGAGUACGUCGGCAACGAUGCAA
rnacentral:rRNA from 1 species